rnacentral:rRNA from 1 species
GACGAACGCUGGCGGCGUGCUUAACACAUGCAAGUCGAGCGGAAAGGCCCUUCGGGGUACUCGAGCGGCGAACGGGUGAGUAACACGUGAGUAACCUGCCCCAGACUUUGGGAUAACCCUCGGAAACGGGGGCUAAUACCGGAUACGACACAGCUUCGCAUGGGGUCUGUGUGGAAAGUUUUGCGGUUUGGGAUGGGCUCGCGGCCUAUCAGCUUGUUGGUGGGGUGAUGGCCUACCAAGGCGACGACGGGUAGCCGGCCUGAGAGGGCGACCGGCCACACUGGGACUGAGACACGGCCCAGACUCCUACGGGAGGCAGCAGUGGGGAAUAUUGCACAAUGGGCGGAAGCCUGAUGCAGCGACGCCGCGUGAGGGAUGACGGCCUUCGGGUUGUAAACCUCUUUCAGCAGGGACGAAGCGUAAGUGACGGUACCUGCAGAAGAAGCGCCGGCCAACUACGUG